rnacentral:rRNA from 1 species
AGAGUUUGAUCCUGGCUCAGGAUGAACGCUAGCGGCAGGCCUAAUACAUGCAAGUCGAACGGCAGCGGGUCCUUCGGGAUGCCGGCGAGUGGCGGACGGGUGCGUAACGCGUAUGCAACCUACCCAUCACAGGGGGAUAGCCCGGGGAAACUCGGAUUAAUACCCCAUAAAGCAGGGGUUUCGCAUGGAACUAUUUGCUAAAGAUUUAUCGGUGAUGGAUGGGCAUGCGUCUGAUUAGUUAGUUGGUGAGGUAACGGCUCACCAAGGCGACGAUCAGUAGGGGGUCUGAGAGGAUGAUCCCCCACACUGGCACUGAGAUACGGGCCAGACUCCUACGGGAGGCAGCAGUAGGGAAUAUUGGUCAAUGGGCGAGAGCCUGAACCAGCCAUGCCGCGUGCAGGAAGACGGCCUUCUGGGUUGUAAACUGCUUUUCUACGGGAAUAAAAAGGUUCUGCGGGGCAAAUUGCAUGUACCGUAGGAAUAAGCACCGGCUAACUCCGUGCCAGCAGCCGCGGUAAUACGGAGGGUGCAAGCGUUGUCCGGAUUUAUUGGGUUUAAAGGGUGCGUAGGCGGAUAAUUAAGUCAGGGGUGAAAAGCAUUGGCUCAACCAAUGAAUUGCCUUUGAUACUGUUUAUCUUGAGUACAGUUGAGGUGGGCGGAAUUUAUGGUGUAGCGGUGAAAUGCAUA